AUCUAGUGUGUCAGAGAGAGAAAGACAAUUCAUCUAGUGUGUCAGAGAGAGAAAGACAAUUCAUCUAGUGUGUCAGAGAAAGACAAUUAAUCUAUGUGUCAGAGAGAGAAAGACAAUUAAUCUAGUGUGUCAGAGAAAGACAAUUCAUCUAGUGUGUCAGAGAGAGAAAGACAAUUCAUCUAGUGUGUGAGA